GCUUUAAUAGUUUAAUUAUAAAACCUUGGUCUUGUAAACCAAAAAUGAAAGAAUUUUCUUAAAGCU
rnacentral:tRNA from 1 species